AUUGAACGCUGGCGGCGGGCCUAACACAUGCAAGUCGAGCGGAUGAAGGGAGCUUGCUCCUGGAUUCAGCGGCGGACGGGUGAGUAAUGCCUAGGAAUCUGCCUGGUUGUGGGGGAUAACGUCCGGAAACGGGCGCUAAUACCGCAUACGUCCUUAGGGAGAAAGUGGGGGAUCUUCGGACCUCACGCUAUCAGAUGAUCCUAGGUAGGAUUAGCUAGUUGGUGGGGUAAAGGCCUACCAAGGCGACGAUCCGUAACUGGUCUGAGAGGAUGAUCAGUCACACUGGAACUGAGACACGGUCCAGACUCCUACGGGAGGCAGCAGUGGGGAAUAUUGGACAAUGGGCGAAAGCCUGAUCCAGCCAUGCCGCGUGUGUGAAGAAGGUCUUCGGAUUGUAAAGCACUUUAAGUUGGGAGGAAGGGCAGUAAGUUAAUACCUUGCUGUUUUGACGUUACUAACAGAAUAAGCACCGGCUAACUUCGUG
rnacentral:rRNA from 1 species